GGCCGUGUGGCAAAAUGGUUACUGCGUUGCUUUCCGACGUUUGGUUCGCUCAUGAGCCAGCGCAGGCAGAGACUGUGGGUUCGAGUCCCACCAUGGUCG